rfam:Betaproteobacteria bacterium RIFCSPLOWO2_12_FTLL_63_13 rifcsplowo2_12_scaffold_1302, whole genome shotgun sequence.
UGUCCCCUGCGAUGUUCGCCAAGGCCCGGAGAUUCUUGAACCAACAGCUUGAGUCCUGGUCGCGACCCACAGCGUCGCUGUUGCGCGCGUCCCUAGUCGGACGUACCUGAUGUGACCGGAACGCGACCGCCUUGAACCACGAGGUUCAGGAUCAAGGUCUGACGGCAUCAGCGGGGGGCGC